rnacentral:rRNA from 1 species
AUUGAACGCUGGCGGCGUGCUUAACACAUGCAAGUCGAUCGGUAACAGGUGUAGCAAUACAUGCUGACGAGAGGCGGACGGGUGAGUAAUGCUUGGGAAUCUGCCUAUUAGUGGGGGACAACCCGGGGAAACUCGGGCUAAUACCGCAUACGCUCUACGGAGGAAAGCCGGGGACCGCAAGGCCUGGCGCUAAUAGAUGAGCCCAAGUCGGAUUAGCUAGUUGGUAGGGUAACGGCCUACCAAGGCGACAAUCCGUAGCUGGUCUGAGAGGACGACCAGCCACACCGGAACUGAGACACGGUCCGGACUCCUACGGGAGGCAGCAGUGGGGAAUAUUGGACAAUGGGGGCAACCCUGAUCCAGCGACGCCGCGUGGGUGAAGAAGGCCUGCGGGUUGUAAAGCCGUUUCGGUGGGGAAGAAAAGUCUCGACCUAAUACGUCGGGACCUUGACGUAACCCACUAAAGAAGCACCGGCUAACUCUGUGCCAGCAGCCGCCG